rnacentral:rRNA from 2 species
GAUUCCCUGAGUAGCGGCGAGCGAAACGGGAACAGCCCAAACCAAGAGGCUUGCCUCUUGGGGUUGUAGGACACUCUGUACGGAGUUACAAAGGAACGAGGUAGAUGAAGAGGUCUGGAAAGGCCCGCCAUAGGAGGUAACAGCCCUGUAGUCAAAACUUCGUUCUCUCCUGAGUGGAUCCUGAGUACGGCGGAACACGUGAAAUUCCGUCGGAAUCCGGGAGGACCAUCUCCCAAGGCUAAAUACUCCCUAGUGACCGAUAGUGAACCAGUACCGUGAGGGAAAGGUGAAAAGCACCCCGGAAGGGGAGUGAAAGAGAUCCUGAAACCGUGUGCCUACAAGUAGUCAGAGCCCGUUAACGGGUGAUGGCGUGCCUUUUGUAGAAUGAACCGGCGAGUUACGAUCCCGUGCAAGGUUAAGUUUGAAAAGACGGAGCCGCAGCGAAAGCGAGUCUGAAUAGGGCGCAUGAGUACGUGGUCGUAGACCCGAAACCAGGUGAUCUACCCAUGUCCAGGGUGAAGUUCAGGUAACACUGAAUGGAGGCCCGAACCCACGCACGUUGAAAAGUGCGGGGAUGAGGUGUGGGUAGGGGUGAAAUGCCAAUCGAACCUGGAGAUAGCUGGUUCUCUCCGAAAUAGCUUUAGGGCUAGCCUCAAGGUAAGAGUCUUGGAGGUAGAGCACUGAUUGGACUAGGGGCCCCUACCGGGUUACCGAAUUCAGUCAAACUCCGUAUGCCAAAGACUUAUCCUUGGGAGUCACACUGCGAGUGAUAAGAUCCGUAGUCGAAAGGGAAACAGCCCAGACCGCCAGCUAAGGUCCCAAAGUAUACGUUAAGUGAAAAAGGAUGUGGAGUUGCUUAAACAACCAGGAUGUUGG